CGGACGGGUGAGUAAUGUCUGGGAAACUGCCCGAUGGAGGGGGGUAACUACUGGAAACGGUAGCUAAUACCGCAUAACGUCGCAAGACCAAAGAGGGGGACCUUCGGGCCUCUUGCCAUCGGAUGUGCCCAGAUGGGAUUAGCUAGUAGGUGGGGUAACGGCUCACCUAGGCGACGAUCCCUAGCUGGUCUGAGAGGAUGAUCAGCCACACUGGGGCUGAGACACGGCCCAG
rnacentral:rRNA from 1 species